GCCAGCAGCCAUAUCACCAUACAACUAACAACCCAGUGAAGCGAAGCAGAUGUGAGCCUGUUCAUUACCUGGAUGGGAGACCUCCUGGGAAAAACUAAGGUUGUUGCUGGAA
rnacentral:rRNA from 1 species